AGGUUCAACUGAAGAGUUUGAUCCUGGCUCAGAGUGAACGCUGGCGGCAGGCCUAACACAUGCAAGUCGAGCGGCAGCGGGUCCUUCGGGAUGCCGGCGAGCGGCGGACGGGUGAGGAAUGCAUCGGAAUCUGCCUCGUUGUGGGGGAUAACGUAGGGAAACUUACGCUAAUACCGCAUACGACCUACGGGUGAAAGUGGGGGACCGCAAGGCCUCACGCGAUGAGAUGAGCCGAUGCCGGAUUAGCUAGUUGGCGGGGUAAAGGCCCACCAAGGCGACGAUCCGUAGCUGGUCUGAGAGGAUGAUCAGCCACACUGGAACUGAGACACGGUCCAGACUCCUACGGGAGGCAGCAGUGGGGAAUAUUGGACAAUGGGCGCAAGCCUGAUCCAGCAAUACCGCGUGAGUGAUGAAGGCCUUCGGAUUGUAAAGCUCUUUUAGUGAGGAAGAUAAUGACGGUACUCACAGAAAAAGCACCGGCAAACUUCGUGCCAGCAGCCGCGGUAAUACGA
rnacentral:rRNA from 1 species